rnacentral:misc_RNA from 1 species
CAACUUCGGCAGGGAAAUUAGUACCUUCUGGGCUAACUUUCUUGAUCUUCAUUAAGUUGCUUUCUUUACCCCUAUGAUUUUGACCCUUUAUUUGGUCCAUAUGAUUCACCUUAUGUCCGUUUCCACCACCAAAUUUAUCUGCAGUGUCAUCCCUUUCCGAGUCCUCAUUCUCUCUGAGCUGAACUAGAUCCUCAAUACCUGUUCCCCCACCAAGUUUAGUUGCAGUGUCAUC